rnacentral:antisense_RNA from 1 species
AGGAAUCUUAAGAAAGAUGGCUUAACCCAGUCAGAAGGGACAAGCAUAAUUUUCUUCCAUGGCUAUUGUAAAGCCAACUGGGAGCCGGGAUGGGAAACUACUAAAGUUUGAUGCACCAGACUUUGGCCUGAUGCGCUCUCAGCAAAAUGUACAGAGGAGAUGGCCACUUGGUCUUUGGGAGCCCCUGGCUCCCUCUUUUUAAUGACACUAGCUGCUCUUAGUGCCCACUACAGGAAAUGAAGCAAUGGAAGAAGCGCACCUCAUGUGAAAGCAUUUGGAUUUUGCUAGGCUAUUUUCUGAGUAGUAUUUGUCCCGUGGAAAAAUACAGAAGAGGAAAUG